AUUGAACGCUGGCGGCAGGCCUAACACAUGCAAGUCGAACGGUAACAGGAAACAGCUUGCUGUUUCGCUGACGAGUGGCGGACGGGUGAGUAAUGUCUGGGAAACUGCCUGAUGGAGGGGGAUAACUACUGGAAACGGUAGCUAAUACCGCAUAACGUCGCAAGACCAAAGAGGGGGACCUUCGGGCCUCUUGCCAUCGGAUGUGCCCAGAUGGGAUUAGCUAGUAGGUGGGGUAACGGCUCACCUAGGCGACGAGCCCUAGCUGGUCUGAGGGGAUGACCAGCCACACUGGAACUGAGACACGGUCCAGACUCCUACGGGAGUCAGCAGUGGGGAAUAUUGCACAAUGGGCGCAAGCCUGAUGCAGCCAUGCCGCGUGUAUGAAGAAGGCCUUCGGGUUGUAAAGUACUUUCAGCGGGGAGGGAGGGAGUAAAGUUAAUACCUUUGCUCAUUGACGUUACCCGCAGAAGAAGCACCGGCUAACUCCGUGCCAGCAGCCGCGGUAA
rnacentral:rRNA from 1 species